rnacentral:tRNA from 1 species
UGCGGGGUAGAGCAGUGGUAGCUCGGCAGGCUCAUAACCUGCAGGUCGCGGCGUUCAAUUCCCGCCCCCGCAA